rnacentral:lncRNA from 1 species
CUUCCUCCUCACUUAUUUCUUCUCUAUAAGAGUUCCCUCUAUCUUCACCCAUUCCUCCACCACCUUCUAUUCCUCCUCCUCAUCAUCAUCCUUCCUCCUCUGUAGCCGAUAUUUUUCUUUCUUCCUUCUCCUUACUGCUUCCUAUUUCUCCUCCUCCAUAGUAACUUCCUCUAUCUUUGUCCAUUCUUCCACUAUCUCCCCAUCCUCCUCCUCAUCUUCAUCCUUCUCC